rnacentral:lncRNA from 1 species
GGGGUAAAUCAGUGAAGUGGGGCUAAAUCGAGUUAAUCUAUUGUUUCCUAAAGAAAUCAGAAAGCUAGUUGAUAUACAUAAAGCUAUCAACUCAUGAUUGUUUCUGUCAAAGUAUAUGGUAAAUAAAAUAUUCUGACAUCCUUUAAUUGCUUAGAGGCACCCCAAGGAGGAGCAGAUUAUGUUUUUGUUUUUUUUUUUUUAUUAGUCUACAGAUUUUUGAGAAACUCCCAGGCUCUUCUGGCACUUUAAUAUUCCUGUCCUUAAGCAAAACCAAACCAAAUCCAGAAGAAACUUAUUCCUGAGGAUCAGAAGCUCGCUUGCAGUUAUCCAUUUGCUCUUAACAAACUGAAUUGCCUUUCCUGAUGUUAAACAGAGGGUCCACCACUGUGUUGCUUCUUAUCCACUGUUGGUGGAUGGAUGAUGGGCUGUGUUUCGUUGGGAACAUUCUUUCCAUUUUGAGGAGUUUGUCUUUGGUUAGCAUCAUUGGAAGCUCCGUGAAUCACCUAGCUGAGAAGUGUCUGGGUUUGGGCAGGAAAUGAAGAGUGAAUAUUUUCUCACUGUAGCAUUGCUAAAUCUGGGGUCUUUGUUUCCACUUAACUGCUGUUCAUAGAAAAUCUUCCUCUCUUGUUAUGCCGUUCACCUCUCACAAUAAACCCACAGAUUAUUUUACAGAUGGGGAAACUGAGGCUGGCACAUAUUUCUUUUUAGAACCAUUUUCUUUAAGCAUAAAGUCCGUAAUGUCUUCAGGUUUUGAUUUUCCUGAGACUGCCAUUCUGUCCAGGAAACCAGUUCCUCAGCCAGGAAAAUAACCUAUAGACGUAUUCUUCAUACCUAAUCAGUGAAAUAAAUUUGUAUGUGGUCCAUGCAGAAAUGAAUUUUGGAUAGUCACUUGUUUGGAGCCCAUCAAUCAAUGCUAAAAUCAGAAAAAAAAAAUUUUUUCCCUAGCCAUCCCAUGUUUUUUUUUUUUUCUUUUUAAUUGUCAUUUAGUCUUUAUUUUUUAUCUGAUCACAAAUAGUUUUUAUUUUAUUAAGUAAUCAAAGUCUUGAUAUUUAUUACAGCAGAUAGAUGCAAGUAAUACAUUUCUUUAGGAAAGGCUUGUUUUAGCCUACUUUUGUUUGUUUUUGGCCUCAUGCGGCAUGAGCAAGUUCUCAGGCUACCCAGGACAUAGCAGUAACCAGAGCCACAGCUGGAUCCUUAACCUACUGAGCCACAAGGGAACUCCAGGCUAGUAUGUUUUGUUUAGGAGUCUCUUUUUUUAAAUUAAUUAUUUAUGUAUUUAUUUUAUUACUCAAAUGAAUUGAUCACAUCUGUAGUUGUAUAAUGAUCAUAACAAUCCAAUUUCACAGGAUUUCCAUCCCAUAACCCAAGCUCAUCCCCCCACCCCCCAAACUGUCUCCUCUGGAGACCAUAAGUUUUUCAAUGUCUGUGAGUCAGCAUCUGUUCUGCAAAGAAGUUCAGUCUUUAGAAAGGUUAAUAAGGAGACAACCACUAAUAAGAACGAGCCUCAGGAUUUUGGAUGCUCUCGAGGCCAGAAUCCUGGGCCUGCUGGAGCUAAUACCAGCGUGCCUUUGAUAUUUUCAGAUGGGGAGAAAAAGAGAUCUUUUUUAGCAUCAGAUAUAAGAAAGAUGCCUUUUCAGCAUCAGAUGUAGAGAAGACACUGAGACGGGACUGGCUUCCCCAGGCUGCCCUUCCCACCCCCUCCCCCCAGCUUGCACCCCCAUCCCCUCCAGCCUGCUCCCUCCUCCCCACCAGGCUGCCUCUCCAUCCGCCCCCAGUCUGCACCUCCCCUCCCAGAGCUAUUCUCCGGAAAGCAGAGCUGGCCUCAGGCAGGAUCAGGGGUCACAGCCACACCUGCAGGACUGAGCAGGUGAAAACAAGUCAGGCUGUGAAAGAAAUCCCCCUUUUCUAAACUUUGCCUUGGAGUCCAUGACCUGAUGGGACAGGACUCAGACCUGGGGCAGGGAGGUCUGGGUUUUCCUCCAACCCUGUCACCUUUGUGAAGCUGAUUCUUUUCUGUGCCUCAGUGGCCUUGUCCGCAAUGCAGACUAAACCCCCUUUCACAGUCACCUUCCAGAACCCGAGUACACGUCACAAGCUCCCAGGCAUCCACAGGGGCACUGCACUUCACAGUUGAUGGAAAUGCUUCUCCUCCCUCAUCUCUGAGGAAAUGAAGGUCUGAUGGGAUUGAAAGCCAUCUACAGGUGGCCUUGCCACUUCUAAAUGAAAAAGGCGAAAAGUGGGAAGUUGCAUUCAGCGUGUGUUUUGCACGAAUGGUUGUAGAGGCAGCAAGAUGGGCCCGGCCAACUUCUUUCCUGGAACCACUCAGCAUCUCAGCAUCUCCACAUCUCAGCACCUCCGAAUCUCAGCAUCCAGCUCGAGCUGUGAACCACAUCUGUGGUGCAUCUGUGCUUUAUCUGGUUUAUUUCAUGGACCUAAGGGCUGCAUCUACAACAACACUGAUCCUUUAACCCACUGUGUGGGGCUGGGGAACAACCUGUGUCCUGGUGCUGCUGAGACGCCACCAAUCCCGUUGGGCUACAGCAGAACGCCUGGAGAGGAUAUUUUAAUAUAUUGAAUCAUUGAGAAAUGAUAAAAGGAGAAGUCCAUACACAUUCAUGAUUUUCCUUUUUUUAAAAAAUUUUUUGAGAAUGAUAACAUCCCCUGAGGAGCCCUCUUGAAGGAAGAGAACAGAAACGUCAGCAUCCUGGGUUGUUCUCAUGCCCACAGACACUUUCCGUGGGGGAGCAGUGACCCCAAGCGUGGCCCAGGGUCCUCAAGACCCUCUCCAAAAGGGUUCCUAGGGUCAAAACUAUUUUCAUAAUACCAGAGAUUUGUUCCUUUUUCAGUCUCCUGCUCUCCUGAUUGUACAGGGGAAUUUUCUAGAAGCUGAUAGUGCAGACUGAUUGAGCAGACUGACUACAGACUGAUGGUGCAGACUGACGGUGGAGACUAACUGCAAACUGAGUGCAGACUGAUGGUGCAGACUGAUUGCAGAAGCAGCUAUGAACAUUCACCUGUAUUGUUAGCCAGACAUUACAGCAAUUUGCAGAAAUGGAAGCAAUGUUACUCUCCUGCCUAGGUUUUUUGGUUUUGUUUUGGAAACCAUAGUUACAUUUUCACAAAAAUGUGUGACUGGCAUGACCAGGUGACAAAACUAAUUACACUCAACACAUGUUCAUUCCGGGACCUGCUCUCGACUCCAGUUUUGUUCAGGAAAUCGAGACGUCUCAUGCUUCCAGAGCUCUUCUCCAACCCCAAAGAUUGGCCAAUCCAGAGGUUCUUAACUUGAGUGGCCCAGCGCAGUGCCUCAGGGGACUUUUAAACAUCAGGAUGCGGAGAACAUGUUGGACCAGGGAAAUCAGUCACUGGGGAUGAGACUCAGCCAGCAUCAGUAUUUUGUAAAGCUCCCCAGGCUUAUGACAUGCCUGAAGCUUUACUAGCUUCUCUGCUUCCCAGCAGCUACCCACCGACCAGCUCCUCACACUCUUGCUAUGAGCCAUGAAUCAAAACUUAUUUUGAGGAGAAAAGCAACCCAGAAAGGCCCUGUUGGAUACCCCACCUCCUCCUCUGAGAAUAUCAGGUGAACAUUCUCUCAUUCAUUUUGCCACUUUGUUUAUAUCCAAAUAUCUGGAUAUUAACGGACAAAUGCAGGAGCCAGUUGGGUCCCCAGAACUUCGAAAUUAACCUUUCUGAGCAAAGGAAAAAGCUCUUCCCGUCCUCUCAGGGUGAGUGACUGAUUGGGCAGCUUGCUUCAACGUUCGGACACACCCAGAAAAUUGUUCCAGACUGUGGAUCAGAGGCCUCUAAGUGUGUCAAACUCACUUGCCUCUAGGUAGCUGGGCUGCUGUUCCCGGUCCAGCUGUAUAACCAUAUAAUAUGUCACCCAUCUCCAGACAGUUUUUUUAGUAAAAAGAGUUGUUUUUGAUGAGCAUGCUGUGACCAAAGACUCAACCUAGGACAACGCCUGGGGAACCAGGACCCACCGCCUAAGUCUGCCUGGGUAACUUCUGGGGCCGCCAAUGGCUGGUGACACCCCCCUGCCCACCUGCAGCUGUCCUUAGGGCUGGCCUGUGGUAAAAAUGACAGGCGAAGAUCUUAAGAAAGUACAGUUUUUAUGAGACCAACUGUUUUGUGAAUGCUCUCAACAACAGAGCCCCAUGUCUGCAGAUCUUCCAGAGGGCUAACGAAAGCCAAGUUUGAGGAAGCGUGGCUCUCACUCUGAGGGAAAAUGUGAAAAAAAGAUUAUAGAAAUCAGGAGUUCCCACUGUGUAAUGAAUCUGACUAGUACCCAUGAGGAUGCAGGUUCAAUCCCUGUCCUUGCUCAGUGGGUUAAGGAUCCGGCGUUGCCGCGAGCUGUGGUGUAGGUCACAGACGCGGCUUGGGUCCCACGUGGCUGUGGCUGUGGUGUAGGCCGGCAGCUGCAGCUCUGAUUCAACCCCUAACUUGGGAACCUCCAUAUGCCGUGGGUGUGGCCCUAAAAAGAAAAGAAAAGAUUACAAAAAUCAGAUGACACAAUGAAAAGAAGCGGAGGAGGUGGACUGUGCGUGGACCUGCAUAGAAACAGCAAUUUUGCAGAAGCACCUCUGAGUGGAGUUCUAGGGACAGACCGAAUAGGCUUUGUGGAGACACACCCUGUCACUCCUACGAAGUCCUGCAGGUAACUGGCUCCCAUGACCAGCAUGAUGGGAAAAGAACAAGGGCCUUUCUAUGCUACAGCCACACAAAGAUGCUGCAAAAGAAGGGAAAGAAAAGGCAGCACAGAUUACCAACAGAGGAAGGGAAUUCUCCAGAAAAGCAUUGCCUUGCAAGAGAUGAAAAAUUGUAGGAAGUGAAAUCUUCAUUCGUUUAAAAUAAAUGCUAUUUUAAGAGGUGUACAAUGAAGCCUAAAGGCAAGAACUCAGAAUGUAGAAACGGAGGAUGUUAAUCACAGGUGGGCAGAGGGCAGGACAGAAAGAUGAGGAUGGCAUUGGAUAGAGUCCAAAGGCAAAUGAACACUAACAAGAAAAAUGAGGUGACCUGAAGAGUAGAAGCGAGAAAAGUCAAAAGAAAAUGGGAAAAAAGUGUUAAACUUAUCACAGGACACAGGUAUGCAAGAAACUAGCCCAAAUAAUGUUGAGCAUAGUAUGUUGACUCUGUACCUCAGAUUGAAGAUAAAAAUGCUGUACCCAUGCUGAAUUCUAACUAGGAGCUUUGUUGGUCCUGGUCAUUUGGGCUACUCAUUUGGCAACCACUUCUGAGUAUUUUUGGAUAGAGAAGUAAUUGCCUUAAGAACAAGCACCUGUAACUUUCUCCUCUUCUGAUGGAGAGCUGAGUUACCAAGUAUGGCGAGGGCGGAGAUUAAGAACUUGUGUGCAGGGGAAUUGGGACAUCUGUGUAAUGACUGCAUGUGAGCGUGCAUGCACACACACACAAACACAUGCAUGUGCACACGCACUCGUGACUCCAGCCACAGAGUCCUCGGGUCUCCUGGGUGAAGGGGCCCUGGAGCAGUCUGCCUCGGCACCUGUGACAACUCACAUCUUGAGCUCUGCAAACCAUUCUAAUAAAUUGGCUUGAAACAAUGGUUUCCUUGGCGACACAGUUGCGUCCAGGGCUGUGUCAAGGGACGUAUAAGGUGAGGGCUAGAAUGGGAUGGAAGAAAGUGACCAGAGAAUGGAGCCCCGUGCUGACGAAGACGUUGCACGAGCCAACUGAUGAAGAUGUUCCACUGGUCAUUUCAGGUACAAUUUGAGCAUCGAAAUACAUAAGGAUAGAAAGACGUAGUUAUCCAUUGAAUGAACUGAGAAUUGCUCAUUCCCUGAGUGAACGGGAAGGAAACACUCCUCCUUGCUGAAGAAAACCAACAAAGAAACGUGGAAGGGAAGGCAAGGUUAGGAAGUCCUUGUCUGACAGCUGUUGACUGAGGCCAAAACCAGGGGUAGAAAGUUGGAGCCACGAAACAUCUUGUUUCCAAGGGUCCAAGAUACUUCUUAACAGAAAGGACCACAGAGGAGCUUUGCACCUGAGAAACCUUGCAGACGCCACAUUCCCCAAAGGACGGAAGUUACCUUCACCCCCAAACGAGGUCAAGUCACCCUUGCUAUGGUUCGUAAGACGAUCACAGCGUCACUUCCGAGGGUCUUCUGCCCCAGAUACGUGACCUGCAACAAAUCACGACAAAAUAUCUAAGUACCCACACUGAGUGACAUUCUCAAAACAAUGGCUCAAAGUUUUUAAAGAAAGUGAAAUGUAAAAACAUGCUUCUGAUUAAAGGAGACUCAAGUGAUCAUGAUUAAUAUAAUACGUGUCCUUUUGUGAAACCCUGGCCUGGGCUGGGCAGGGGUCCUUUAUGAUAGACAUUAUUGGGACAAUUAAUGACAUUUUGAACAGAGACUGCGAAUUCCAUAACAGUAUUGUAUCAUAUUCAGUUUCCUGGAUUUGAACAUUCUUCUGUCGUUUCAUAAGAGUAUCCUUGUUUUUCGGGAAUAUACUGAUAUAUUUAGGGUAAAAGUGUGCUGCCUGGGAACCUCCUUAUGCCAUAAGAGCGGCCCCAGAAAAGGCAAAAAGACAAAUAAAAUAAAAUAAAAUAAAUAAAUAAAUGGGGGGAGUUCCUGUCAUGGCUCAGCAGAAAUGAAUCUGACUGUUAUCUACCAGGAUGCGGGUUCAAUCCCUGGCCUUGCCCAGUGGGUUAAGGAUCCAGCAUUGUGGUGAGCUGUGGUGUAGGUCACAGAUGGGGCUUGGAUCCUGCAUUGUGGUGGCUGUGGUGUAGGCCGGUGGCUGUAGCUCCAAUUUGACCCCUAGCCUAGGAAUCUCCAUAUGCCACAGGUACGGCCCUAAAANAAAAAAAAAAAAAAAAAAAAA